GCGGAGAUAGUCUCAAACCACCUCCAGGAGAUAGGGGGGCACCUGGAAAUAAUCCAGCGCCACCGCUAUCUCCCUCCAGGGCAGGGUGUUGAAGGCGUUGGAUAUGUCCAACGACACAGCAAUCAACACCCGGCCCCGAGCGACAGCCCUUUCCUGGAGGAGGCGCAAACGCUCCAACGCGUCCAUCGUUGAGCGACCCCUCCGAGUCCGUCACCCCUGCGGCUGUUUUCACACAAAACAAAGAAAACCCGUCCUCCCCUCCCGUCGAUAUUCCUUCGUUCCCUUCCCGAAGGGCGGCACUCCACCCUGGCUAGCCACCCUCUCCUUCGUCGACCUGCGCCUUUCUUCGAUCGCGGCUCGAAAGUUCGCAGCCCGCGGUUAUGGGAGCAAGGGGAGACGGAAAGCGUCGUCACCAUUAGCUCGCUGGACAGCCUUCCAAUUACGGAAAUGGUGGGACCCGGGGCGUGGAGGGGUUGACGAGAGGAAAAGUGUCGUUGAUAGGCAGCCUAGGGACACGCGAAGGGUUGAGAUAUGAUUCCCUUCCAUUUUUAUUUUGGUAGAUUAGAAGAGUUUCUAUCACGUUGAUAAUAUUAGCACAAGAUUUCUUGUACCUCUGUAACAAUUCCUCCAUUCUAUAACAAUGCAUUUUUUCUUAGUCUACGUUUCAUCCGUUUUAGUUUUUAAUGUUAUUAUUAAGAAUUACUGUUACUAUUAAAUAUUGCUACUAUAUCUCUUUGGUUUAUACUAGUAUCGCAUUAGAAGAACGACUGCGCUCGUGGUGGCUGGAGAAUGCCGUCUUUGGCAGACAGCGUGGCACCGAAGGCUGUCUAUCCUUCUUUUUUUUUUCCUCGGGCGUGGCAAUAAGGAAGUGGGCCCGCUGCUUAAGAAAACAGAGAGCCGCCAAUAUCGAGGCAGGCCCGGCCGACUGCCUGAGAAAACAGUGAACCGUUUUCGGAAUCCUGUCGAGGAUGCGAGCCGGACUUGGCUUUCCGUCAUGAAUGAAAACCUGAAUGCUCGCGAGGACGACGAGAAAUGCGACUGACGCGUCUGCAGCCAGACGUGGGUAAAACGAUAGGCUAGCUAACAAAUUUCAAAGCUUAACAUUAAAAUUAAUAGAUCAAGAUGAAAGUUAACGCACUUUGGUUAGAAAAUAAAAUGUACAAUUAAUUAAAGAUGAAUUAUAAUAAUAAAGAUAGUGUAGAAGUCUGUAUGAAAUUGAGAAAAUCAUGAAGUGAGUUAGUGUCAGGGAUGUGACAGGAUUUGGAAGUGGAAAGGAGACCCAGGCCCUUUAGGAUUCAAAACGAAACAGACGAUCGUGUUUCUAGGCUGUCUGCCGCAAGACAGCGUGGCACCAGCGGCCAGGGUAGGCGGUGACCGCUUAAUUAACGGCCUGACGAAAGGCAGCGGCAAUUAAUACUUCCUUCCAGGCCCUGGUGUCCCUUGGUCCAGCUUGCACGUGUGAAAUACCAGUAGGCGAUGUUUGUCACUGCGUUGUCACACUGAGAUUUCUCUCUCUAUACUCGCCACUGAGCUAAACAAUGCAGUGAUUAUGUAAACAAACACCGCUGGGUGGGAAACAAAGCAUUAUUGACCAAACAAAGUAUUGGCGGUAGACUUAGCGUCGAAACUGAGCGUUUCGGCUCCUGCAGAGUCAGGUCUAAUCCAAACAGUAUUAAAAGUUCUCCAAGGUUGCUGAUGCAUGUACGAAUGUGAGACUUUCAUCCCGUGGGAGCGUACCGCUUUUACAACAAGUCUGUCCGCAAUUAAACAACGUCCAAUCGCAUCCUUGCAUUCGAUCCUUGGGUUCGAUCGAUCCCUGCUUACGAAGCAGAACUCGUUAUCGCUCCUCGAGCGAUGCCAAUCCGUCUUUACGCCUAACGAGUUGCGGGAACGACAGAAAGUUCGGUGAAGGUGCAAAACGGAUACACAAUGUGUGUAUCUUUCGUGGCCAUAAUGGAGCUUAAUGGAGCUGACUGUCAGCGCGGAGUUUCUCCUUGUCUCGGUAGCAGUUCGCGAUUGGACAAUGCGUGCUCGGUAGCCAUACUGCCUCCGUUAUUUGACAAGACGUGUCCUCGCACACGUGGCCACACAUACGGCGAUCAUUGUAUUGCGAAUGCCGUAUCGUGUCAGUGUAGUGGUCGAAGGAAGAUGAAGCAGAGUUUGGAGAAAGGGUUGAAAUCGAACUAACGACUAAGUUGGCGUCAGUGGAGGUCUGGACAUCUAAAAAAAUGUUUGGGUCACGCUUGGACUCUCAAGCAUUAAUUUCUCCAUUUCUUCUUUGAUCCUGAGUGUACUAAUAACUCUGAUAUGGAUUAUUUCUGCAUUUGGGACAUGUUGCUGACCCACCAACCUCGCAGAACUCCGGACCCUGACUUGGCGGCUUCUUUCGCGACAAGCCCGUCGAUCGACGAUCCUUCGUUCAGUGACGACGACCAUCGGAGUCAAGCCAUUCUAGGAGGGCUGGUGUUUUGACACGAUGGCACCUCGGAGGAUAAUCCUUUAAACGGCCACGACGGGUGGUCCUCCGCGAGUCACCUUUCCCGCAGGACUUGGCCCGUCGCUUCCGCCUUUAAUCCCGUUGGCCAAUCCCGCGCACGAGCACUUCCUAGCGUCCUCGAAGCCGGGAAAGUCUGCGGUUAAUCCUGCGAAAGUCUGAGAGCCCCCAUACCCUGGCUUCUGUGUACUGUUGCCGAAUUACCAUCAGGAAUUGUUCGAAAAUGUGGAAAUCGGAGAUAAAGUCCACUUCCUUUCGGGCAGUUUCUCGUCCGUCGAUGAUAGUUUGAAGAUAGAGCGUAGAUCGCGAUCGAAGUUUGUACCGAGCGAUAUAUGUAGAUUUUUUUGUGUGUUAGAACACAAUGCCGUCGUUGUCCUAGGAUUACGCGCGCACGAGUUAGGAUUCGACGGAGCGCAUGGCUAGGCUCGUAGAACCCGAUAUUCGAACAGAGAUCCAACUGUCAGACUCGAGAAUCGUAGAAACUUGUGAAGCCUCGGAUGAAAUUGUCAGGUUCGCGCUGGAUACGAAGAGUGAAACCGAGAACUUAGUUUGUAACUUAUAAUUAGACUGAGAAUCUUUAUGCAAAAUAAAAUCUUUACGAAUGUACGUAUGUACAAAAAUUCAAGCUAAGUAGGAAUUUAUUUUGUUCUGUAAAUAUUACGAUAGGAAUUUUACUUUCAACAUUUUUUUAUGUUUCUCAUGCUCAAUGCAUUUUGUAUUCGCAGUCUGCUUAUAAUAAAAUAGGAUGAGUCACGUCAAAGUGACAAAUUGUAUUCGGUUGUCUAGGUAUUGGUAGUAAAGAAGAGCAAUAAAACAUCUAUCUACAA